rnacentral:rRNA from 1 species
AUUGAACGCUGGCGGCAGGCCUAACACAUGCAAGUCGAGCGGAUGAAGGGAGCUUGCUCAUGGAUUCAGCGGCGGACGGGUGAGUAAUGCCUAGGAAUCUGGCUGGUAGUGGGGGAUAAGGUGCGGAAACGGGCGCUAAUAUCGCAUACGAACAGAGGGCGCAAGUGGGGGAUCCUAGGAUGUCACGCUAAAAUAUGAGCGUAGGUCUGAUCAGAUAGUAGGUGGGGUAAAGGCCUUCAAAGGCUACGAUCCGUAACUGGUCUGAGAGGAUGAUCAGUCACACUGUAAGUGAGACACGUUCCACACACCUACAGGAGGCAGCAGUGCGGACUAUUGGACAAUGGGCGAGUGCCGGAUCCAGCCAUGCCGCGUGUGUGCAGAUGGUCUUCUGAUUCUAGAGCACUUUAAGUUGGGAGGUUGGGCAGUUAGUUAAUACCUUGCUAUUUUGACGUUACCAACAGAAUAAGCACCGGCUAACUUCGUG